rnacentral:lncRNA from 1 species
AUGGCAACAGACAAUUUAGCCAGGUUGAAGGAAUGUCUUGUGCGGUUUUUAGUGACUACCAUCAAACCAACUUUAACUUCUGAAAUGUGUCUCGAGCUUUUAAAUCCUAAUGAAGAUGAUAUUGAAAGUUCAGCAGAGUGUUUGGAAAAAUUAUCCCACUGUAUCACUCAGAUACCAGCUGGUCAUCAAAAUGACUCAGAGGAUCAGGAAGAAAGUCUUGUCAAGAAAAGGAAACUUUGCCAUUUGAAUUUUAAAGCAGUCGAACGUAUUUCAAAGGAGCAAAUUGACUAUUUAAUGAAUUCUUGCAGCUGUGAUGGAGCAGAUGAUCAACAGAAAGAUCUGCCAUUGGUAUUUUCAUUAGUAAAUUCAUUCUGUGAUGAAAAAGUCCUAGAUAGUGUCUCCCAGAACUUACUGAGUCAUUACACGUAACAUGAAGUUUAUCAUCUGUGUAAUUGUCUAGCCAACAGGUAAAUGUACCUCGCGGGACGGCCAAUGUUGAGUUUCAUCGAAUUUUAUCCAUCUGGCUCCUAUCUAUAACCCUCCUAUAGCCAAAACAUUUUCCUUUUUUUAAAAUUUUAUCAGAUUUCCUCCUCAGAAUUACAUGUUCAGUCUAGUCAUUCAAACUUCAUUGUAAUAGGAUAGUAAUUGAUUUUUUUUGAAAAUGAGCGUAAUGAAGAAUUUAAUUAAAACAUCAUCUUGCCUUCAAUUUAUCUCUGCAAUCAUUUCAAGGUAUCAUUCUAUUCUUGCAUUUUAUUUAUGGCUGUCGUUCUGUCAAGAAAAAUAUUUUCAAUACGUCCAAGAUUAAGUAGGUCUUUCUGUGAGCAUCACCUAGGACUCUCAAAAAAUUACUAGUUGUAAAUCUACUCUCCAUGGUAAGCCAUUCCUCAUUUCCUCCCACUGACAACUGCGAAUGAAACACAUCAAAGAUUUGUAACAAGGAAUGUAAACAUGAAAGGGACCACCUAAUAUAACAAAUUUUUUCUAUUUAGUAAAUUUUGCAACUGCUCCAAGUGUUUUGAAUGCACAUGAUUUGAUCGGUUUGGAGGGCAUAGCACGCACCAAUUAGGUACACAUGCACUUAAGCCCAUGAACGCAAAUUAAAACUCUUUAAAUAAUCUGUCAAUCGAUAAAAUAAAUAAAUAAAUGAGUAGUAGAAAAAAUUCAUUCCUGUUUUAAUCUGGGGGAAAAAUUUCGUAUGAAAAGCUGAUAAAACAAAUAUAGAGAGCCACCUGGCGGACGGGUGACUUUCUGUAAUCCGUGCUGCUUCUCUUUACUUAUUCCUCCAGAUACACGAGAACGAUUUUUAUAAAAAUCUCCAUUACUGGAUUUUGACCCAACUUUUCAAUCAUUUAAUUUGUGAAGAAUUUGCCCUAAGAACUGUGUGUCCCUUUCCCCACGGACGUUCAUACUUUAUAAAUAGAUACAUCAAGCGAGUCUAUUAUUCAAUAUUUUGCAAUUGAGAGCCCUGGCAUCGGAGCAUAAAAUUGCUGUUUGUGACCGUCAAAAUUGUAAAGUUGCAUAUGAAAUAAACAAAAAAAAAAGAGAUGGAUUUUCAAUAGAAAAAAUAAUAGUUUUAAUUUCAAAAAUUGCAACAAAACCACACGACAAAGUCUGAAAUUGAAUUUCAAACUUGAUUUUGAUAAUAUGCAAGUCUUUUGAAGACUCGCAAAUGGACAGAGCUUAAUGGCAGAAAUGCACCAAGUCGCAUUUUGGAAGAAAUGAGUUGGGGGUUAGUUUUUGAAUACAACAACUGGUCGCAAAUUUUCUCCCGUCAAGUAUUCAAAGUUGAAUAAAAGUAUUUUGAACGUGAAAAAUAAUUGUUAAAGUUGUCCUCAACAUGGAGUCUCUUGGAGGAAUAAAAGUUUGAACCUCUUUAUCAAAUUUUGACUUUAUGCAACUUGGUGCAUCCCUGAUGAAUUCUUUUAAAAAAUUUAAUGAAACACUUGUUAGAAGUGCAGUAGUAGUCUUAAUAACUAAUUUAACAAACAAACUUCUGACCAAGAUUUUUUUCUUAUUUUUUUCCCCAAAGAAUCUGUUUGACUCAGUGCUGCCAUUUCCUAGAAAUAAUCUAAUUUCGUAAUUUUUCCUGGAAUCCUUGAGAUUUCUGGAGUACUGCCUGAUGAUCAGAAUUUUUCAGUUUAAUCCUUUUUCUUGCCUUUUUCAAUGAUCAUUCAGUAAAUAUUCCUCUACUGUUACUAUUCCAGAUCCCUCGCUGAUCUUAUGUUGAUUUCUCCUUUCUCGCUAAUUCUAAUUACUUUCCUUGCUGAAACAGGAGGCUGCUGCUAAAAAUACAGUCAAACUAUGCAGUCUGACUGAGUGAGUAUGCACCCACACUGCCAAACCCUGAACAGAUGGUGGUUUGAUGCACAAAUCAUGUGGACAGAGUGUUGAUAAUUUUGCCCACGUACAUUAAAAUUUAGCAUAAAACUGAUACUCUGAUUACAGAUGGAAAAAGCUCUUCAAAGCACAAUUCACCCUCUAGAAUGAUACCCUGUUUGGGGCAACACUAGGUACAACCAAUCAGGGGGGCUACUGUGAGCGCAUUUUAAGACUAAUUGGUUCCAUUGGUACAGCUCAGCUUCCUAAUUUUCUGCUUCUAAGCUCAGAGUAAUCAUGAGAACCUGUCCGCGGUUUGGGUUUGCGUUUGCAAUGGCAAACAAACUUAUCGCUAUCUAGCAAACAUAUUAUUCAGACAGCUCUGCUAGAGCUCUUGCAAGGUAGUGUUACUAAUAUAGAUUGUUCUUCUAUCAUGAGAGUAUCAGUUUUAUACUGAAUAGUUUUAUAUGUGAAUUCUAACACACAUUGGCAAAAUUACCAACACUCAGUCUAGCAGUGGGUCACUGGUGACUGUUCAUUUUUCUUGCUACACUAAGGAUUCAUCUGUAUAUUUGACAACAGCUGUAGCCUAACAAUGUUGAAAUUUUCUCUGCCAUUCCCCACUUUUCUUCUUCUUGACCGUAAAAUUUUCUUAGGCAUGAUAAAUUUUAAACAGAUUUCUUAGGUUUAUGCUUAAAUUUGCAAGGUUCUAGGUUUUCUAUGUUAGUUAGUCCUAGAACUUACUCAGAAACUUAGGUUUUUCAGGUGCCUGUGAAAAAAAUUGAAACAAAAAAAGUUCGAAUCCCAAAAUCUUUUUACUAGCCAAACUGGCAGCAAUGAUUAAACUUUACCUUCAAUAUUAUAGACAUAUUUAACAUGCCUUUGGUAAACCAGUGUCUACAAUAAUCACUUAAAUUUUAAAGGAAAAUCUAAGUGGGCUUUCAAGGAAAUUUACAGCAUUUUUAAAUCGGUAAAGGGUAUUUUUGCUAGAAUAUAUUCUUGAAUCUUCAAAGAACUUAUGAUGGAUAAACAUUGGGUACAAAAAGAGAUGAAACACAAAAUAUACUUCCUUAAUGAUAAUACUCAAAUAGCACCACUCAUUGAAUGGUCAGUUCCAUAGCUGACUCAAUUUAUUUCUGGAAAAUGCAUACUUGCACUAAGCUUGUAUGUCAAUGUUGUGGGUUUCCCAUAAACUUUGGAACGAGCAAAAAGACUUGAGGACGCAGAAGAGGUAACCGAAACGUUCUUCCACCAGUUUUCUCUCAUUUGAACUCCAGGAUUUCAGCCUGGGACUCAGGUAUAAGGGUUCCAAUUGGAUCCAUCCUCUGGUUCAAGGCCAUUCGUAAUCAAGAGAAUCACAUCGACAACCCACCAGACUCCCAAACCUCCAAGAGUGAGAAGUUUUCCAACAGCAGUGCCUGUCUGACCGAGGCAAAAUCUAUCCAUGCCCAAGAAACCUAGCAAAUGCUGUACAUCAAUGUUGUGACAAAGUAAUGGCCACUGUAUCUGCAAAAAUAUCAACACAAAUAUUUAUGUAACAAAAUUAUUUAGCACUACUUUGAAAAAAGAGAAAAGAGAUCAUUAGUUAUUCAUUUUUUUGACACAUUAAUUAUUUUAUUGAAGUCUCAGAAAUCUGAACGGAAAU